rnacentral:rRNA from 1 species
AUGGCCACCGCUGAUGUCCAGAACCCGACGGCCGCGCUGACGGAGGAGGCGCCCGCGGUGGAGACGCCCGUCGCCGCCGAGGAGGUUGCUAAGACAGAGGAGGUCCCCGCGCCGGUGGAGGCCGAAGUCGAGGCGCCUGCCCCCGUCGAGGUUGAGGCGACCAAGGAGGACGCACCGGCCGCCGCCGAGACGAAGGAGACCAAGGAGCCCGAGCCAGCAGCUGCUGCCGAGCCGGAGGCCGAGGCGCCGAAAGAGCCAGCCGUGGUCGAGACAGAGACCAAGGAGGCGGUGGCAGAGGCCGAGCCGGCGGUGGCAGAGGAGGUGAAGGAGGAGGCGGCGCCUGCUGCCGAGCCGGAGGUGGCGGCCGUCGCCGAGGAAGCACCUGCUGCUGCGGAGGAGGAGCCGGCCGCCGCGGUGGCCAGCGUCAGCGUGUGA